CGACGAAUGAAAAGGGGAGGCGAGAGCCAACUCGUGCGCCUGUAACUGACAGCGCGGGAAGGAUGCGCUGCCGCAGACGCGCCCGCCCGCUGUUGGCGCCAAUCCUUCGGAAGGAAGGCCUCGCUCCUUAAACUGGUCGAGGCAGCCUUAUUAGUUCUUCCUUUAGCUAACCUAGGCCGUUUAUUUAUUUACUGCCUUUGCUGGGCAGCGGGGAGACAGCUCUCCCCCCCUCGCAAGAUACGAAUUCAGAGGAGUUUUUUGGCGGGGGGGAUAGGCGGGGCUUGAACCCUGGCUUGUGAUUGGUUGUAGUGGAGCGCGCUGCAUGUGGGGAAGUGUAGUGCUCGAGAGCCCGCGCGUGCGCAAUGCUAGACAGGUGCUUUGCUGUAAAUUGAACCUAGAUUGGAUUGAGGCUCCUUAAUCUCUUGCUGUGAGCUGUCAUUUCUCUGCUACACGUUGCGAGCGUGGGAGUUAACCUUGCUGUUUUUUUCUGAACUUUAGAAGGAAAGAAGAGUGCAGAAUGAAGGUCAUUUUGGCAGUUUUGUCUUUAGAAGCAGUUGGAAGCAUCUGCAGCAGAAGUGGGAUACCUGUGGCCUUCCAAAGGUUGCUGUAAUACAACUCCUGUCAUCCUUUCUGGCUGAGGCUAAUAAAGAAUUGGAGUCUUAACACCAUCUGGAGAGUUGCAAGUUCCUUAUCCCUGCUCUACAGGUUGAAUUUCUGAACAACCAAAAUCUAGAAUAUUCUUUCAGUUUGUUUAUGGCAGGUGUGGCAAGGUCCAAACCCAGAAG